UACAGAGGUCUCAAGCGUUGUUCGGAUUACUGGGCGUAAAGGGCGCGUAGGCGGCGCAACAAGUCACUUGUGAAAUCUCCGGGCUUAACCCGGAGCGGCCAAGUGAUACUGUCGUGCUAGAGUGCGGAAGGGGCUACUGGAAUUCUCGGUGUAGCGGUGAAAUGCGUAGAUAUCGAGAGGAACACCUGCGGCGAAGGCGGGUAGCUGGGCCGGACACUGACGCUGGAGGCGCGAAAGCCAGGGGAGCGAACGGG
rnacentral:rRNA from 1 species